AUGUACCGCGCGCACUGCGAUUCCGAUCGCGCCGGCCACGCCACCUGACGACUGCUCGCUACGUUCUGUUCUCC
rnacentral:sRNA from 11 species